rnacentral:misc_RNA from 1 species
AUUAAUGUUUUCGACUGAAAUAAUGUAUAUAGUAAUCAAUAGUAAUUUUAAGUCAAACCUAAGCUGAUUUAAGUGUUUGUUUAAUUUAAAAUUGUUUGAUAUUAAUAGGAGUUAUAAACAUAAAAGUAUAUAUAUGAAUACAUAAAUGUGCAAUACAAAACUAAUAAUUGAUAUAAGUGAUAAAAUAUUAAACAAUUAAAGAAAACAGGAAUUUCGUAUCUACUAAAAAAUCAGAUAGCUUUUUUCGAAUAUUGUAAGCCUAUGAUUGAAUCGUCAGAUAAAAUUAUUAGAUAACAAAUAAUACGUGCAUGUAUAGAUGCUGGUAAUGUGUUUUACGUUUAAUCGAAUAUUGUGUGAAGUGAGUAUUUCAUACUUUACAAAUAUUCUUCAUUAAUUAAUAAAGCGUAGAUUAAAAUGUUGACACCAGAAACAUACCAAUUAACUCAUCCAGAAUCACUGACAGAUGCUGAACUUAAGGAAAUUUUAGAAAAUAGGUGCAUAGAUUUUAGUAAUUAUAAAAAUUUAACCAGAUGUGGGUUAAUAGAACUAUAUAAACGUGUGGCAAUGCCAUUGCCUCAAAGACAAAAUGAAAAUAACCAUAGUGCAAGUACAAACAAGGAUAAUAAGGAAACAAAUUCAGUUAAUGAAUCUCACCAAAAUUUAACUCUUUUGAAUGGUACAAAUAAUACAAAAAUAAAUAUAAAUGAAGUCACAAAAUCAUCUCAAACAUCUCAUAUGAAGUUGACAACUCCUGAAAAUGAGUUAAAGUGUUCAACAAAGAAAAUAUGCUUGUAUAAUUCAAAUACUGUGACUAAGUGCAACGGUGUUGAUAAACGUAAUGGCGAUGACAAAUUGGAUGGAGCUCCAUCUAAGAAAAGACAGAAAAUUACAUGGCCGUAAUGAUAUGUAUCGCCCUAUGAAAGAUUUGGAAACAUAAAUGACAGUGUCAUGUUGCAAAUUUAUUAUUUCUAGCAAAGUUGUUUUAAAGGUGUCUAAGUGGAGUUUUCAUAUGUAUUCUAUUUUUACAGUUAAUAUAUAAUUUCUACAUAACUAUGAACUGUCACUGUUAUUUGUGGUAAUAAUAACAGAGGCUGUUUCUUGACCACGGUAUCCAACGAAUUGUCUCAAGUUGGCCGAGUGGUCAGUGGAUCGCUAGUUCUCUCCUAACAAGGAGACGGAGCACAGGCGGGUUUAGGACAAAACUCACGAAAAGUUGAUGAAAUAAAGAAUACUCAGUUGACACGUUUA